UACAGAGGUCUCAAGCGUUGUUCGGAUUCAUUGGGCGUAAAGGGUGCGUAGGCGGCGCGGUAAGUCGGGUGUGAAAUCUUCGGGCUUAACUCCGAAACUGCAUUCGAUACUGCCGUGCUUGAGGACUGGAGAGGAGACUGGAAUUUACGGUGUAGCGGUGAAAUGCGUAGAUAUCGUAAGGAAGACCAGUGGCGAAGGCGGGUCUCUGGACAGUUCCUGACGCUGAGGCACGAAGGCCAGGGGGAGCAAAACGGGG
rnacentral:rRNA from 1 species